rnacentral:rRNA from 1 species
UACGUAGGGGGCAAGGCGUUGUCCGGAUUUAUUGGGCGUAAAGAGCGUGUAGGCGGUUUGGUAGGUCCGCUGUGAAAACUCGAGGCUCAACCUCGAGACGCCGGUGGAAACCAUCAGGCUAGAGUCCGGAAGAGGAGAGUGGAAUUCCUGGUGUAGCGGUGAAAUGCGCAGAUAUCAGGAAGAACACCCGUGGCUAAGGCGGCUCUCUAGUACGGUACUGACGCUGAGACGCGAAAGCGUGGGGGAGCGAACAGG